GAAAAGGAACAAUAUUCAAUAGUAUUCCAAUAAGUUUUAUAGCGGAAUCAAAGUAUUUGUUAGUAAAACAAUAUGAAAGUAAUUAAUUUUUUCCUAAUAGUCGCUUGCAUUGUUGCCACUGCCAUGGCUGAACCAGGAAAUACUAAUGCACAAGGCGUUACUAAUUCCGGCUACUUUUUCCAAGGAAGUAAAUAAUUGAAGUUAUUAUCCUAUUGAAUUGAAGUAGUUGAUAUAAAUAAAGAAAAACACAUUUUAUUAAAUUUAUAAUGUGUGAAUAAAAAAGUUUAACCCUAUA